rnacentral:rRNA from 1 species
AUUGAACGCUAGCGGGAUGCUUUACACAUGCAAGUCGAACGGCAGCGCGAGGAAAGCUUGCUUUUCUUGGCGGCGAGUGGCGAACGGGUGAGUAAUGUAUCGGAACGUGCCCAGUAGCGGGGGAUAACUACGCGAAAGCGUGGCUAAUACCGCAUACGCCCUACGGGGGAAAGGGGGGAUCGCAAGACCUCUCACUAUUGGAGCGGCCGAUAUCGGAUUAGCUAGUUGGUGAGGUAAAGGCUCACCAAGGCUGCGAUCCGUAGCUGGUUUGAGAGGACGACCAGCCACACUGGGACUGAGACACGGCCCAGACUCCUACGGGUGGCAG